rnacentral:lncRNA from 1 species
GGGGGGGGGUUGCCUUUUUCUUUUUCUUUUUCUUUUUCUUUUUCUUUUUCUUUUUCUUUUUCUUUUUCUUUUUCUUUUUCUUUUUCUUUUUCUUUUUCUUUUGCUUUUUCUUUUUCUUUUUCUUUUUUUCUCUUUUUCUUUUUUUCUCUUUUUCUUUUUUUACCUUUUGCUUCACGAAGGAAAACAAGAACAUAAAGCAAUGUAAAAUACAUGGUUUGACUAAAUUUCUCACAUAAAGAAGCAGGGCUUGGAGCACAGCUGGGGAAGCUGGAAUGUCACCACAAUCUGGUGCACAAUCCUUGCAUGCAAAUCAGCCACAGAAACCAGUGACUGAAGUCCCAGCUCUCCAGGGUUUGACACUGGUUGUGUGAAUUUCCAGAAGCAUGGAAAAACACUUGCAUUUUCUAUAUGUAGAAGCUGGAUUUAGUCUAUUUAGGGAAUAGACUUCAUGGAAAACACAGUGAGUUCAAGAGCAAUUUCUUAGAUGGCUGCCCCCUCGUAAGGCUCUCAUGCAGAGUAACUGGCUUUACAUUUCUGUUCCCAAUUCCACUGCGAGCACUGUGUCAGGUUUCUGAAGCUGAGCAGAACUGAGCUGUUUGCAUCAGUGCUUGGGAGCAAGAUCCACCUCAGACCUCACCUAACAGCAGUUGCUAGGAGAUCUUGGAGAGAAAACACCCUUCUGAUUGCAGUGGGGGCUGUGGGGGAGCUGCUGGGCAGAUGGAGAAGGCUGGGAAGGAAACACGUGGAGGAAGAUAGGGCUGUGAGAAAGAGGCUCCCUUCCCUCAGCACAGUCGGAUUUGCAAUCAUAUCUCCCUUUUUGGUAGGAAGCUAAAGAGCUACACACCCUGUUACAAACGUGACCGUGGAACUCCCAGUGACAUUGCAGCUGAUGACACUUGUCAACAGCAGCAGGAGCUUUCCUAAGGACAAGGGAAGCUGGAGUCCAGCUCAGGAGUGGCUGGAGAUGGGAAAGAGCACUAAAGCAUGGGAGAGGAAACUUUCGGGAGCCUCUAUAUCCCUUUAUGCUGCUGAGCAGGAGCAAUUCAAUUGACACUGGAAAAGUGAGAAGUACCUCUGAGUAAAGUGGAUGCCUGGGUAAGUUAAUAGAGAGCCCCAAGUUACAGCAGACCUCUCAGUAAAAGCAACUGGAAGGAGCAACAAAUACCAUUAUCAUUUGAAAUUACAAUAUAAACAUUAUCCACCACCAGCCUGGCAGUUCAAAAGCGAGCUAAGAACUCCAUCAGCAGCCUGUUUUGCUUUGAACAAUUAGUUUUAUAAGAGAACAUUGAUCAAAGGCAUUGGUAGCAAGUUUAGUGAAGUGUUCAUCGUGUACAAAGUCGCUGGGAAAUUACUCAGCCCUGAACUCAGCUCAGCCAAAAUCAGGUAAACCAUAAAUAACCAGGGUUAAAGAUGAACGGUCAGCUCUGAACAAAGGAAUUCCAGGGACAGCAGAGCAUGGCUGCAGUCUGAGCAGC